rfam:Isosphaera pallida ATCC 43644, complete genome.
GGGCGCUUAGCUCAGUUGGUUAGAGCACUAUCUUCACACGGUAGGGGUCACUGGUUCGAGUCCAGUAGCGCCCA